AUUGAACGCUGGCGGCAUGCCUUACACAUGCAAGUCGAACGGUAACAGGUCUUCGGAUGCUGACGAGUGGCGAACGGGUGAGUAAUACAUCGGAACGUGCCUAGUAGUGGGGGAGAACUACUCGAAAUAGUGGCUAAUACCGCAUGAGAUCUACGGAUGAAAGCAGGGGAUCGCAAGACCUUGUGAUACUAGAGAGGCAGAUGGCAGAUUAGGUAGUUGGUGGGAUAAAAGCUUACCAAGCCGACGAUAUGUAGCUGGUCUGAGAGGACGAUCAGCCACACUGGGACUGAGACACGGCCCAGACUCCUACGGGAGGCAGCAGUGGGGAAUUUUGGACAAUGGGCGCAAGCCUGAUCCAGCAAUGCCGCGUGCAGGAUGAAGGCCUUCGGGUUGUAAACUGCUUUUGUACGGAACGAAAAGCCCCGGGUUAAUACCCUGGGGUCAUGACGGUACCGUAAGAAUAAGCACCGGCUAACUACGUGCCAGCAGCCGCCGUAA
rnacentral:rRNA from 1 species